rnacentral:rRNA from 1 species
UACGUAGGGUGCAAGCGUUAAUCGGAAUUACUGGGCGUAAAGCGUGCGCAGGCGGUUAUGCAAGACAGAUGUGAAAUCCCCGGGCUUAACCUGGGAACCGCAUUUGUGACUGCAUAGCUGGAGUACGGCAGAGGGGGAUGGAAUUCCGCGUGUAGCAGUGAAAUGCGUAGAUAUGCGGGGGAACACCGAUGGCGAAGGCAGUCCCCUGGGCCUGUACUGACGCUCAUGCACGAAAGCGUGGGGAGCAAACAGG